ACCCAGGAAGCGCGUCCUCUGGAGCAGCCUCGGUUCUGGAGGUGGAGGAUUGGACCUGGUGCUGAUGCUCUGCCUGCUGCCGCGGCCGCUUCUGAUUGGCUGGAGCUGGAUGCUGGAGGUGAUGCCUGCAGCGCAGCGCCGCUCCGCUCCGCGCUCACGAGGAGUUUUUAGCAGACGUGUUCUGUGUUUGACGCUGUCUGGAUGUUCUGACGACUGGUCUGGACUGGACUCGUCCGUGUCAUGCAUUACUCCACUAACGGCUGCUGAUGGAUGUGUCGCCUCAGGCCCAGAUUAAAGCCUCGAUUCACUCAUUUCUGCGGGUUUUUAUUUCGCUUAUGGAAUUUGAAAUAGAAAACCUGAGCGUGGCCCGUUAUCCGGUGUUAAUUAAUCAGCGCAGGUGCGCAGAGAAAUGUUUCUCUGGCAGAUCUGAGACACGGACAUGUUUUCCAUCGGAACACUGUGAUGUGUGUCCUACGCGAGGUCCGCGUCGGGCAGAGCUCUGCGAGUUCCCGUCGGAUGCACAGACUCCCUCUUUGCUUCUGAUGGAAACUAUUUUCUUAACCUCGAGCGACUGCUUUAAGUAAACAGUGUUUCCAGUCAAAGUGGGUUUUCACUUUGCACAAUGAGCAUUCUGUCUCUAUCACCAGGACGCUGAGCUGGGCCCGCAGGGCCAACGCACAGGGUACACGGCCGCCUGGGUCGGUACCGUGGGCCAGUGGGUCCAAACAGAGAACUCAUUAAGGAACCAGGUACAGGUGAAGCCAAUAGAGACGCCACUGAGCCGUUAAAGCAAAUCAGAGGAACCGGUUCUCCUUUAAUCUGAAUUUACAUCUGACAGAUAACUUCAAGAAAAUAUAUCAAUACAUCUGAGUGAAGGGUGAAGACAAAGGGUCGCUUUUACCAAAGACCUCCAGUUGAUGCUUCUCACAGGCACUCGACUGUCAAAGACAAUAACACUGAUUAAUAGAAUGAGCGUUUUCUGUUCUGGCAGAAAGAGAGCGAUGUGUUGAUUUGACCACAUCUAAUCCCACUAAAUAUCAGAUUCCACAUGUUUUUGUCCCGUUCUGUCUGCUCGCGGUUACGACUGAGCACCAACACCAGCACGUGUGGGGAGGAACCGGCCCAAAGAGCGGCUGCAUGAAUCCAGCAGACAGAGGAGGCUGCGAACGCGGAAUCCAGCAUCUGGAGCCUGUUCCUCACGUUCUCAUUGAUGCUAAUUGUUGCUGUGGGGGGUGGUGCAUAACCUCUGUCAUAUGUCUGUCAUCAGCCUGAACCGGGCCUUUCUCUGCCACACGGAGGAGACGCUGCUUUGUGACGCUCGUCUCGUCUGGACGAUCUGAUGCAGGCAGCGACCAGACGGUCCAGAAGCAAACUGCACCAGCCAAGACGUACAACCCCCGCACAUACAACAUCGUGUAGAGUGAGGUGUUAAUGAGCCAGCUGUGGAUUCAUGUCCCACCUCCUCCACCAGCGCCACAGGUUCCUGCAAAUCCACAAAAGGCCGCUACCUCACGGUCCGAUGCUCUGCUGCUGCGCCACCACCGCACCAGCAAACAAGCCGCGCUGUUUCAGAUGUGGGGAGCAGCGUGGUGUUUCCUGAUUGGAGCUGACUACAGCAAGGCCACAGCCAAUUAUCUCAGCAGGCCCACAGACUGUGAUCU